CCCACAUCAAGGAGAAUGCAAAACUUUGAUGAUUACAGUUAAAAGCAGAUGGAAUUAUUUAUUUAGUUGCACUAAAAGGAUUUGGAUCAAGAUGAAAACAGUUUCUGGGGAAAUGUCAAGAAUCAAUCAUACAAAGAGUCAAAAUGUUGGUAUUUUGAACGUUAGAACCAAAGCUUUUAAAGAAUAUAUGGUUUUUUAUUGAUAAAAUACUGAAACAGAUCAACUCACCAGAUGCCUCCGUGAAGACCUCCCUCAACUAAUGCAGGACUGCAUAUGUGGGUUAAAAAUGUCCAAGCAAGCUCAACAAGAUGAUGACGAUACGUUCUUGUGAAACUAUCUCUAGGGACAAUCCUGCCAAAUCACCAGACUUUUGAAAUUGGAUAAAAUACCACCAAGCUGAAUGAUACUGGGCCAACAUCAUACAAACUGAACUUUUCUUUCCAUACAGUCUCUCAAAUAUUCAAAAGACUAAUUCUGAACCUUUUAAUAAUUCAGAAAUUUCAUGUUUUUUAAAAAAAAUCCAACAUGAUUUCUGACUACUCCAAAAUUAAUCUUGCAUCCCUAAAUCAAUAAAAUUAAAAUGUAGUUAUACUGAUUUGCUUUUCCAAAGUAUCCCUUUUGUCUUAGCCUCAUAUACUCAAGGCAUUCUGGAUGCUUCUUUUUCCACAUCUCCACAUCCAACUAUACUUUGAAAGACUAAAACCUACCUGUACAAACAGGUUAACCACAGCAGAACCAAACUAUUUACCAAUAACACACACACACACAAAAAAAAAAAAAUUGUUGUGCCUAG
rnacentral:lncRNA from 1 species